GGUCUUGGCUAGCUCAGCUGGUAGGGCAUGGCAUGCCAGGGUUAGGGGUUCGAUUCCCACUGGGACCA